rnacentral:snRNA from 1 species
GCGUUCACUUCAUCAGCGCGUAUGCUAAAACUGGAGAGAUAGAGAGAAGAUUAGUAAGGAUGACAUGCAAAUCCACGAAGCAUUCUGUAUUUAA